rnacentral:lncRNA from 1 species
CCUCUUCUGCUCUCCCAAAGAACGUGCAAAAUGAAAUUACUAUGACCUGAAAAAUAAAGAGAGCAUUGUAAUAGGCAGACUGGCAACCUUAUGAAGGGUUGAGGUUUGGCUUCUCCUUGCCAGCAGGACAGGCUUUUAUUUUCUUUCAGGGACUAAAAGAAUAGAGCUUUCGCUCCAGCUGCUGUUUGAGGCAAAGUGACUUCCUGCUACAGAGAAAAAAGCAGGUCUGUGAAGACUCACCAAUCUGUGGACUCAGAUUUUGAUGAAAAAUAAAUAAUACUGCAUUGCAGAGUUUUGCGACUGUCAAAAUAAUUCUAGGCUUUUGUUUUAUUUUAACUUUAUAUAUUUCUAGGGUUUGUUGUUUCCAUUCACAGCAAGGCCAUAAAACGUCUGCAAAUAUCACCAUCUGCCAGUGUGAUAUUCAGGAGCUGCUGUGUAAAUCAAAACAUUUCUGAAUUAAUGAGGAAAACUGCUAACAUCUCCCCAAUUUGUACUUGCGUUACCAGUUACAGUAAGCUUCCAGGUGAGUAAAUUGUCAUUUUCAUUAUCCUCUGGGCAAAAACAGACGAACAGGCACCUUUGCAACCAGAAGCAGAGCUGGCUGCAGCCAGAAA